UACGUAGGGUGCGAGCGUUGUCCGGAAUUACUGGGCGUAAAGAGCUCGUAGGUGGUUUGUCACGUCGUCUGUGAAAUUCCGGGGCUUAACCUCGGGCGUGCAGGCGAUACGGGCAAUACUUGAGUGCUGUAGGGGAGACUGGAAUUCCUGGUGUAGCGGUGGAAUGCGCAGAUAUCAGGAGGAACACCAAUGGCGAAGUCGACUCUCUGGUCUGUAACUGACGCUGAGGUGCGAAAGCGUGGGGAGCAAACAGGAUUAGAUA
rnacentral:rRNA from 1 species